CCUACGGGUGGCAGCAGUGGGGAAUAUUGGGCAAUGGAGGCAACUCUGACCCAGCAAUGCCGCGUGAGUGAUGAAGGUAAUUUUAUUGUAAAGCUCUUUUCUUUGGAACGAAUAAAUGACGGUACCAAAGGAAUAAGCCCCGGCUAACUACGUGCCAGCAGCCGCGGUAAUACGUAGGGGGCAAGCGUUGUUCGGAAUGACUGGGCGUAAAGGGUGUGUAGGUGGUUUGAUAAGUUAGAUGUGUAAUACCCAGGGCUUAACUCGGGUGCUGCUUCUAAAACUGUAAGACUUGAGUGCAGUAGAGGUUAGUGGAAUUCCUAGUGUAGCGGUGGAAUGCGUAGAUAUUAGGAGGAACACCAGAGGCGAAGGCGGCUAACUGGACUGCAACUGACGCUGAGGCACGAAAGUGUGGGGAGCAAACAGGAUUAGAUACCCCAGUAGUC
rnacentral:rRNA from 1 species